GAUGAACGCUGGCGGCGUGCCUAAUACAUGCAAGUCGAGCGAACAGACGAGGAGCUUGCUCCUCUGACGUUAGCGGCGGACGGGUGAGUAACACGUGGAUAACCUACCUAUAAGACUGGGAUAACUUCGGGAAACCGGAGCUAAUACCGGAUAAUAUAUUGAACCGCAUGGUUCAAUAGUGAAAGACGGUUUUGCUGUCACUUAUAGAUGGAUCCGCGCCGCAUUAGCUAGUUGGUAAGGUAACGGCUUACCAAGGCAACGAUGCGUAGCCGACCUGAGAGGGUGAUCGGCCACACUGGAACUGAGACACGGUCCAGACUCCUACGGGAGGCAGCAGUAGGGAAUCUUCCGCAAUGGGCGAAAGUCUGACGGAGCAACGCCGCGUGAGUGAUGAAGGUCUUCGGAUCGUAAAACUCUGCUAUUAGGGAAGAACAAAUGUGUAAGUAACUAUGCACGUCUUGACGGUACCUAAUCAGAAAGCCACGGCUAACUACGUG
rnacentral:rRNA from 1 species